rnacentral:rRNA from 1 species
UAACUGCGAGUGAAGCGGGAAAAGCUCAAAUUUAAAAUCUGGCGGUCCCUGGCCGUCCGAGUUGUAAUCUAGAGAAGUAAUGCCCGCGCUGGACCGUGUACAAGUCUCCUGGGAUGGAGCGUCAUAGAGGGUGAGAAUCCCGUCUCUGACACGGACUACCAGGGCUUUGUGGUAUGCUCUCAAAGAGUCGAGUUGUUUGGGAAUGCAGCUCAAAAUGGGUGGUAAAUUCCAUCUAAAGCUAAAUAUUGGCGAGAGACCGAUAGCGAACAAGUACCGUGAGGGAAAGAUGAAAAGAACUUUGGAAAGAGAGUUAAACAGUACGUGAAAUUGCUGAAAGGGAAACGCUUGAAGUCAGUCGCGUUGGCCAGGAAUCAGCCUCACUUUUGUGUGGUGUACUUUCUGGUUGAUGGGUCAGCAUCAAUUUUGACCACUGGAAAAAGGCUUGGGGAAUGUGGCAGCUCCGGCUGUGUUAUAGCCCCUGGUCGCAUACAGUGGUUGGGAUUGAGGAACUCAGCACGCCGCAAGGCCGGGUUUCGACCACGUUCGUGCUUAGGAUGCUGGCAUAAUGGCUUUAAGCGACCCGUCUUGAAACACGGACCAAGGAGUCUAACAUGCCUGCGAGUAUUUGGGUGGAAAACCCGAGUGCGUAAUGAAAGUGAAAGUUGAGAUCCCUGUCGUGGGGAGCAUCGACGCCCGGACCAGAACUUUUGGGACGGAUCCGCGGUAGAGCAUGUAUGUUGGGACCCGAAAGAUGGUGAACUAUGCCUGAAUAGGGUGAAGCCAGAGGAAACUCUGGUGGAGGCUCGUAGCGAUUCUGACGUGCAAAUCGAUCGUCAAAUUUGGGUA